ensembl:lncRNA
CACAGUUUUGUUCCUGGGGGAAACAGAGAACAACUGGUUUGUAGAGUUCCCUUUGGCCUUAAAACUGGCCAAAGAAUUGGAUGCUCCUGGUGGCAAAGAUCAAGCGUCAAGGAACCCUGUUGUGGCUGAGCAUGUAGGGCUGUGAUGUACUGAAUGAGUGAAAAUGUGCCUUUAUGAGUCACUGACUUGUUCCUAUUGGGAGCUGCACAGGAACAGGGGAAGGAAAAAGGGAGAGGGAAGUAAAAGAGAAAAAAGUAUCAGAAAGGAUAAAACAAUCUAAACUACUUCUUUCCAUGCACAUAUUUUUCAAGAUACAUGAUGGAGUGAUGGCAUACCUAGAGAUCUUCAAAAGCAGACCAGAGAAAAUACUACCCAAAUACACCUCCAGCGCAUCCUGAACCACAUCCUCUUCUCUAAUCUUUCGGGGGAGGAAAGAAAGAUAUGGAAUAUUUGCUAAGCUAUUUUUCACUUGCACAUAGACUUGAACUUCCUGCAAGGUCAAGGUCUUCUGCAAAAGGCCUUCUUGCUGCAUUUAUGGCCCAAGAGGAAGCAAGAAAAAGCAGAAAUUGUCCUGUUCUGCUGAGAUCCUAAAGACCAUUUUCCAAACAGUUUGAAGAAGCAGUGUUUGAAUCACUGGAUAAAUCUUUAGGCUGGAUCCAAAUACUGAAACUAAAUGCCAAUUCUUCCUUUCUGAUAUCAGCCAAAGUGGAAGAAGCCAUUUUUGCAAUGAGUAUUAUUUAUUGUCUUAUUGUCUCUGAUGUGAAUCAGAUAUGGUAUCAAGCCCUGGAAGAGCUUUGCUUUUACCAGCUUUAUAUGCAUAUAUAUAUACACCACUUUUAAUCAAAUGCAACAUGCAUAAGGGCAGAAUUUGCCCUGCAGUAUCUAGUUGGGAGAUGAAUAUUAGCAGAUUGCUUUGAGUAACAGAAACAGAGAAGCUUCAAAGGGGAAAAUAAAAGGUGGGGGGUGUUUCUGUCUGCAAGGAAUUUACCUUGGGAAGAGCUGAGUGCUGUAGCACAUGAAUUAAAUGUAUGACUGAAAUGUAUCACAAACCAACUGUAUAAGAAAACUACAGCAUCUCACCAGUGUGAUUUUUUGCAAAGCAUCAUUUAACUACAGAUGCUCAUAGACUGUAGACAUUUAGACCAUAGACAUCUCUAUGCAAUAGAGAUGCAAGAGCAAAAUAUUGCAAUUUGCAAUAGCAAAAAGACUAUUUUGAUGGCUAAAGUAUUGUGUGGCUCUUGCAUUUGGAAGGGCUGAAUUUCCCACCAUGACACUAAUUCAAGCGAUACAGAAAAUAAAUUUGGGCUCUAACAGAACAUGCUCCAUCCUAGCUGCUUUGAUUUCAGUUGGUCAUCUUAAAAUCCAGUGCACAAAUAGGACACAAUUCAUUUCUUAUUUCUGUUGUUUCACCUCCUUGUUUCCAGUCCCUGGGGGAAGGGUGUUUUCAUUCACUGCAGAGCUGGCACAGCAACAGCCUGAACACCAGUACCUACCAGCCUCAGUCUGUGAAGCUUCUUCAGACUUUGAUCUUGGGAGAGAUCAAACAGGGUCAGGCCAUGGAUAGCAGAUUUUGAAUGAAAACCCAGACAGGGCUUUGUGACGUGGAGAUGAUGUGGAGAGGUGAGGAGCACAGCAUGCAGUAUUCCCCCUCUGCAGAUAUUACUAAGUACUUGAAAAUAUAUGCAUAUACUGUUCUAUUGCUGAAAGGUGAAGGAUCCACUCUUGUCUUGGAAAUCAAACUAAGGUCUGACCAGUCUUCCUCAUGAAAGUCUGCUGGGCAAAACUUGGCACUUAAGGCUUGCUUUCUAAUUUUAGCUUUAUUUCUACUCAGAACAUGAAUUUUGAUAAUUGUCUGCAUCUUCCUCAAAGAAAUUGAGCUUGUACUUUCCUGCUUUGUGGAACUGGACUCUUUGAAUGUACGGUGUAGAGCUGGAGGUUGUAUAAAUUAUGGACAUCACUUUAUAACAUUUAAUAACUCAAGGUGAAACCUAUAUAUAAUAUAACCUUCCAACACAGUCCCUGAAGAUGUUUCAGAAACACGUGGAUGUGGUACUUAGGGACAUGGCUUGGUGUGCAAUAUUGGUGGUAGAGGGAUGUCUGCAGCUAGGCUUUUUCCAACCUUAAUGAUUCUAUGAUUCCCUGAUUCUAACCUAUUCUUAACAUUUUGUGACAUAGGGAAAAGUCAUUAUCCCAAUUCCCAUUGUAAAAGUGUAAAUAUGUAUGCAUAUGUUACGGAAAACAGUGGUAGAACAUUGCCUACUAUGAAGGUUUUCUGACUUUCCACUGUAAAAUAUUUGUACACGUGUGUGUGUUUGUAUAAUGUAUAUAUGCAUAACUGCAU